rnacentral:tRNA from 1 species
GCCAGCAUGGUGUAGUGGUUUGAGCAUUAAACUAUGACUCUGGAGACCAGGGUUCAAAUCCCUGCUUGGCC